rnacentral:rRNA from 1 species
UCCAGACUCCUACGGGAGGCAGCAGUGGGGAAUAUUGCACAAUGGGGGAAACCCUGAUGCAGCGACGCCGCGUGGGCGAAGAAGUAUUUCGGUAUGUAAAGCCCUAUCAGCAGGGAAGAAGAAAUGACGGUACCUGAGUAAGAAGCACCGGCUAAAUACGUGCCAGCAGCCGCGGUAAUACGUAGGGGGCAAGCGUUAUCCGGAUUUACUGGGUGUAAAGGGAGCGUAGACGGCGAAGAAAGUCUGAAGUGAAAGCCCGCGGCUCAACCGCGGAACUGCUUUGGAAACUUUUUUGCUGGAGUACCGGAGAGGUAAGCGGAAUUCCUAGUGUAGCGGUGAAAUGCGUAGAUAUUAGGAGGAACACCAGUGGCGAAGGCGGCUUACUGGACGGUAACUGACGUUGAGGCUCGAAAGCGUGGGGAGCAAACAGGAUUAGAUACCCGCGUA